UCAAGUGUGAGGAGUAAGUUGAAACGAAAAGCGCUUGGAGUCGAAACACGGCAAGACGUUCAGGCGCUUUUUGCG
rnacentral:sRNA from 1 species